ensembl:lncRNA
CAGACAGUUACUGGAGCAGAGAUCUGAAACACCACAGACAGUUACUGGAGCAGAGAUCUGAAACACCACAGACAGUUACUGGAGCAGAGAUCUGUAACAACACAGACAGUUACUGGAGCAGAGAUCUGUAACAACACAGACAGUUACUGGAGCAGAGAUCUGAAACACCACAGACAGUUACUGGAGCAGAGAUCUGUAACAACACAGACAGUUACUGGAGCAGAGAUCUGAAACACCACAGACAGUUACUGGAGCAGAGAUCUGUAACACCACAGACAGUUACUGGAGCAGAGAUCUGAAACACCAGACAGUUACUGGAGCAGAGAUCUGUAACACCAGACAGUUACUGGAGCAGAGAUCUGAAACACCACAGACAGUUACUGGAGCAGAGAUCUGAAACACCACAGACAGUUACUGGAGCAGAGAUCUGAAAUACCACAGACAGUUACUGGAGCAGAGAUCUGAAACACCAGACAGUUACUGGAGCAGAGAUCUGAAACACCACAGACAGUUACUGGAGCAGAGAUCUGAAACACCACAGACAGUUACUGGAGCAGAGAUCUGAAACACCACAGACAGUUACUGGAGCAGAGAUCUGUAACACCACAGACAGUUACUGGAGCAGAGAUCUGAAACACCACAGACAGUUACUGGAGCAGAGAUCUGAAACAACACAGACAGUUACUGGAGCAGAGAUCUGUAACACCACAGACAGUUACUGGAGCAGAGAUCUGAAACACCACAGACAGUUACUGGAGCAGAGAUCUGAAACACCACAGACAGUUACUGGAGCAGAGAUCUGUAACACCACAGACAGUUACUGGAGCAGAGAUCUGAAACACCACAGACAGUUACUGGAGCAGAGAUCUGAAACACCACAGACAGUUACUGGAGCAGAGAUCUGAAACACCACAGACAGUUACUGGAGCAGAGAUCUGUAACAACACAGACAGUUACUGGAGCAGAGAUCUGAAACACCACAGACAGUUACUGGAGCAGAGAUCUGAAACACCACAGACAGUUACUGGAGCAGAGAUCUGUAACAACACAGACAGUUACUGGAGCAGAGAUCUGAAACACCACAGACAGUUACUGGAGCAGAGAUCUGUAACACCAGACAGUUACUGGAGCAGAGAUCUGUAUCGAUGUUUGGCCACUUUGUAAUGGAGUAGAUACUAUGGCCAGUGAAAUGGCAGCAGAGAGAAGCCAGUGUGCAUGGACAAUGUUCUCUCCGAGCUCAAGCUACGAGUCACUAACCAGCUUCCAUUGAAAUGAUUCUGUAUGUAACUGAUAUAAGUGUGAAACAGGUCUGAAGAACCUUUCGCCGUAACCAGGUGACCAGUGGCCGAGUUAACUAUGGCCGCUGUAAUGGUAUCAGAGAGAAGCUAGCGUAUAGAUCUAGCGUGAUGCAGACAUCUUGUGUUACUGGUAAUGCCUCGUGUUAAUUGUCCUUGGUAUUUGUUCCUGUAGUCGGGGGACGGAGGGCGCAGCAGACGAGCCUAACUUCUGUUGUUACGUCGCGCUCUCACUAAACCAACGAGUGUUGACAUCUUGAAAGGGGCACGGACACAAACCUGCAAACUAACGUUGGUGUUGGGAUAAUGUACAUGUAAUCUGACUCAUGACUCUGUACUAAAGGUUUCUCAGUAUAAAUGGCUUUUAAUUCCAUGACAGACUGACCAGAUGAAAGCUAUGAUCGCUUAUUGAUCUCGCUUGUUAAGUCAACUUCAAUCCGUGUAGAUGAAGGGGAGGAGACAGGUUGAAGAAGGAUUUUUAAGCCUUGAGACUUGAGCCUUGAGACAUGGAUUGUGUAUGUGUGCUAUUCAGAGGGUGAAUGGGCAAGACAACAGAUUGAAGUGCCUUUGAACAGGGUAUGGUAGUAGGAGCCAGGCGCACCAGUUUGUGUCAAGAACUGCAACGUUGCUGGGUUUACAUGUGUGUGUCAAGAAUGGUCCACCACCCAAAGGACAUCCAGCAAAUUUGACACAACUGUGGGAAGCAUUGGAGACAACAUGGGCCAGCAUCCCUGUGGAACGCUUUGGACACCUUGUAGAGUCCAUGUCCAGACGAAUUGAGGCUGUUCUGGGGGCAAAAGGGGUACAACUCAAUAUUAUUAACUUGCUCUUAAUGUUUUUUUAGAAGAGAGAGAGACCGGGCCGUUGGGAGGAGCAGAGAGAGAGAGAGACCGGGCCGUUGGGAGGAGGAGAGAGAGAAAGAGACCGGGCCGUUGGGAGGAGGAGAGAGAGAGAGAGACCGGGCCGUUGGGAGGAGGAGAGAGAGCGAGAGACCGGGCCGUUGGGAGGAGGAGAGAGAGCGAGAGACCGGGCCGUUGGGAGGAGGAGAGAGAGCGAGAGACCGGGCCGUUGGGAGGAGGAGAGAGAGAGAGAGACCGGGCCGAGGAGAGAGAGAGAGAGAGACCGGGCCGUUGGGAGGAGGAGAGAGAGACCGGGCCGUUGGGAGGAGGAGAGAGAGACCGGGCCGUUGGGAGGAGGAGAGAGAGAGAGAGAGACCGGGCCGUUGGGAGGAGGAGAGAGAGAGAGAGACCGGGCCAUUGGGAGGAGGAGAGAGAGACCGGGCCGUUGGGAGGAGAGAGAGAGAGAAACCGGGCCGUUGGGAGGAGCAGAGAGAGAGAGAGACCGGGCCGUUGGGAGGAGCAGAGAGAGAGAGAGACCGGGCCGUUGGGAGGAGCAGAGAGAGAGAGAGACCGGGCCGUUGGGAGGAGGAGAGAGCGUUAGGUAGCCUAGUGGUUAAGAGAGUUGGGCCAGUAAUUGAAAGGUCGCUGUUUGAAUCCCAGAGCCGGCGAGGUGGAAAAAUCUGCCAUUCUGCCCUUGAGCAAGGCAGUUAACCCCCAACAACAACUGUGCCCCGGGCGCCGAUGACGUGGAAAUCGAUUAAGGCAGCCGCCUGCACCUCUCUGAUUGAGGGGUUAACCGUGGAACACACAUUUCGGUUGAAUGCAUUCAGUUGUCUAACUGACGAGGUAUCCCAUCCUUAUCUGUCUGUCCAGAUACUGUAGUAUUACCCCAACCUGUCCAGAUACUGUAGUAUUACCUCAACCUGUCCAGAUACUGUAGUAUUACCUCAACC